UGGGGAAUUUUGGACAAUGGGCGAAAGCCUGAUCCAGCAAUGCCGCGUGUGUGAAGAAGGCCUUCGGGUUGUAAAGCACUUUUGUCCGGAAAGAAAUCCUUGGCUCUAAUACAGUCGGGGGAUGACGGUACCGGAAGAAUAAGCACCGGCUAACUACGUGCCAGCAGCCGCGGUAAUACGUAGGGUGCAAGCGUUAAUCGGAAUUACUGGGCGUAAAGCGUGCGCAGGCGGUUUGCUAAGACCGAUGUGAAAUCCCCGGGCUCAACCUGGGAACUGCAUUGGUGACUGGCAGGCUAGAGUANGGCAGAGGGGGGUAGAAUUCCACGUGUAGCAGUGAAAUGCGUAGAGAUGUGGAGGAAUACCGAUGGCGAAGGCAGCCCCCUGGGCCAAUACUGACGCUCAUGCACGAAAGCGUGGGGAGCAAAACAGGAUUAGAUACCCUGGUAGUCCACGCCCUAAACGAUGUCAACUAGUUGUUGGGGAUUCAUUUCCUUAGUAACGUAGCUAACGCGUGAAGUUGACCGCCUGGGGAGUACGGUCGCAAGAUUAAAACUCAAAGG
rnacentral:rRNA from 1 species